rnacentral:rRNA from 1 species
UUGCCUAAUACAUGCAAGUCGAGCGAACAGAAAAGGAGCUUGCUCCUUUGACGUUAGCGGCGGACGGGUGAGUAACACGUGGGCAACCUACCCUAUAGUUUGGGAUAACUCCGGGAAACCGGGGCUAAUACCGAAUAAUCUCUUUUGCUUCAUGGUGAAAGACUGAAAGACGGUUUCGGCUGUCGCUAUAGGAUGGGCCCGCGGCGCAUUAGCUAGUUGGUGAGGUAACGGCUCACCAAGGCGACGAUGCGUAGCCGACCUGAGAGGGUGAUCGGCCACACUGGGACUGAGACACGGCCCAGACUCCUACGGGAGGCAGCAGUAGGGAAUCUUCCACAAUGGGCGAAAGCCUGAUGGAGCAACGCCGCGUGAGUGAAGAAGGUUUUCGGAUCGUAAAACUCUGUUGUAAGGGAAGAACAAGACAGUAGUAACUGGCUGUACCUUGACGGUACCUUAUUAG